GCCAGGCGUGGUGGCGCAAGCCUGUAGUCCCAGCUACUCAGGAGGCUGAGGCAGGAGAAUUGCUUGAACCCGGGAGGCGGAGGUUGCAGUGAGCCGAGAUUGCGCCACUGCACUCUAGCCUGGGUGACAGAGUGAGAUUUCGUCUCAAAAAANNNNNNNNNNGUAGACAGAGUCUCGCUCUAGCCCAGGCUGGAAGGAAGUGGCGCAGUCUCAGCUCACUGCAACCUCCGCCUCCCAGGUUCAAACAAUUCUGCCUUGG
rnacentral:SRP_RNA from 1 species